rnacentral:rRNA from 1 species
UACGAAGGAUCCAAGCGUUAUCCGGAUUCAUUGGGUUAAAGGGUGCGUAGGCGGUUUUGUAAGUCAGUGGUGAAAUCUCCCGGCUCAACCGGGAAGCUGCCAUUGAUACUGCAGAACUAGAGUACAGAUGACGUUGGCGGAAUGUGUCAUGUAGCGGUGAAAUGCAUAGAUAUGACACAGAACACCGAUUGCGAAGGCAGCUGACGAAACUGCAACUGACGCUGAUGCACGAAAGUGCGGGGAUCAAACAGG